GUAAAUCUCACUUUUUAACUUGUGGUUUUCUUUCUGGAUCAUAACUACCUGAGAGAGUAGGGUUCUGUGCUUCUCUAAGGAUGCAAUAUUUCUGUCAAUGGCCCAACAUUCCAAAAUCCAAGCAUCAUUUGAAUAUAAAAUAGUGUUCUAAAUUGUAACUGCCUUAGGAGUAGGUACUAAUUUCCAGACUUUGUUUUAUUUAGUUAAAAUGUCAGUCAAUCAGACAAGGGUUUUAUAUUAAAAGUGUUUCAGGUACUGGUGGUGGAAGAAUGACCAAGUUUUUGCUUGCAAGUCAUGAGCUUAUUUUGGUGAGAAAUAUUUAUCAAAAUAAAUGAAAGCAUUUAUGUGCAGAUGAUUUGGAGAAUUGAUAAGUGCUAUGAGGGAAACAAACAGUAAAAUAAUAGAAAUUGAUCUAAGUGGUCAUCAGGAGGGUCUUUCGGAAGGGUAGCAUUUGAAAAGGAAAUAGCCAUCAGAAGACCAUCAGAGCGAGACAAGAAUGCAAGGACGCUGGCGCUGCAGCUCACUAGGCUAAUCCUCUGCCUGUGGCACCGUCAUCCUGGGUUCUAGUUCCGGUUGGGGUGCCGGUUCUGUCCUGGUUGCGCCUCUUCCAGUCCAGCUCUCUGCUGUGGCCCGGGAAGGCAGUGGAAGAUGGCCCAAGUGCUUGAGCCCUGCACCCGCAUGGGAGACCAGGAGGAAGCACCUGGCUCCUGGGUUUGGAUUGGUGCAGUGUGCCGGCCAUGGUGGCCAUUUGGGGGGUGAACCAACGGAAGGAAGACCUUGCUCUCUGUCUCUCUCUAACUCUGCCUGUCAAAAAAAAAGUGCAAAGACAUAGCAACUGGGCUAUGAUAUGAUAUAUAUAUCAUACACACACACUUUCUCUAUAUAUAUACUUAUAUAUAGUAAUGAGUUUGGUUUACUGUAAGAGCAGUGAGGAGUUACUGGAGGGUUUCCACAUGCAGGUAGUGAGAUGUGGUUUAGUGUUUAGGAAUAUCACUCUAGCAGUGUGAAGAAUGGACUGUAGAAGAACAAGAUGGAGGCAGCAGGCUGACCCAGUGGCUUAGUUUAGGAUGUAGCAGUGGAGAUGGUGAACAGUGAUUCAAUGUCUGCUGUGUUGUGAAAGCUGAACCAGUGAGAUUCACGUGUGGUUUGGGUGUGAACUGGAAGUAAACAUGGAAAACUGUUAGCUUUUUGACCCAAGGAGCUGAGUGAAUUGUCAGACCGUUUUCUGAAAAUGGAGAAGUGAAGUUAAUGCUUGAUUAGGCCAAGUUCAGAGUGGUAAAUAGAUGUCUUAAGUGAAAGUGUUGAUUUGACUGCUGGAUGUCUAGUUCAAGGUGGAAAUCAAGCCUUGAGUUACAGAUUCGGGACUUAGCAGCCUAAAGAUGGCAUUUAAAUUAUUAGAAUGGAUAGGAUCACCUAGGGGGAGAGGGGAGAGGAAUGAAAAAAUGGGAAGGCUAAACACUAGCUCUGUGGUUUGCUGACAUUUAGAGAUCUAGCAACUGCAGAAAGGUUGUGAUGAUUGGAGGAAAUGCAGGCAGAUGUGGAGUUCCGGGAACGAGGAGAAGCAAGUCCUUCAAGAAGGACUUCCUGAUCAGCCCCCUCCAGUGCUGCUGUGUGCAGGUACAGGCAGAAGAUAUGGGGUGUCAGUAGUCUCUUCUGCCAGCAAGUAUGAUGGAAUAAGAAAAGGUGCUAGAAGAUCAAGCGUGUCUCCAAGAGAUCUAGACAUCUUCUGGUAUCAUCUUCCACAGACUUUUUGAAGUGCCCUUGUGAGUGUUGCUGAAAAGGAAUACAGUGAUCUGGACUCUACUGUAUUCAGUGAGUGAGGAAGAGUGACUGUGUGGUCGGCAGGUGAUCGCAACAAUGAAGGCAACAAGGGGUUAUGCUCAUGACUCCUGGGGCCACAGCUAGUGCAGGAGUUUUGCGGUAUUGAUGAUACAGGAGACACAUGCCUUUUAAGAAAGGAGGAAGAACUUCAGUUGUACACCUUUUCCGAGUGAGUACUGGAUGUUGUGGAUGUUGGG